rnacentral:tRNA from 1 species
AUGCUGGUAGUAUAACAAGUUACAAUUGCCUUCCAAGCAGAAAAACCACAAUGGUCAGCAUA